UACGUAGGGUGCAAGCGUUGUCCGGAAUUAUUGGGCGUAAAGAGCUCGUAGGCGGUUUGUUGCGUCGGCUGUGAAAACCUGAGGCUCAACCUCAGGCCUGCAGUCGAUACGAGCAGACUAGAGUGUUGCAGGGGGAGACUGGAAUUCCUGGUGUAGCGGUGAAAUGCGCAGAUAUCAGGAGGAACACCGGUGGCGAAGGCGGGUCUCUGGGCAACAACUGACGUGAGGAGCGAAAGCGUGGGGGAGCGAACAGG
rnacentral:rRNA from 1 species